GCUUAACUGCCUAGAGGGCAGGAAACCGCGACCGCCUGAAAAGUGCUGGGAAUUUUGAUAUUAUUGUUAGCUUAACUGCCUAGAGGGCAGGGAAUUGCAACCGCCUGAAAAGUGCUGGGAAUUUUUGUUGUUCUGUUCAGAGAGGAAAAGGAUUUUGUUGAUGUGGCGAAAGCCGCCUCGCCACUGGACAUUGGAGAGGCCUGGCUGCCCGCCUCCUGCCAUGUGC